rnacentral:rRNA from 1 species
GAUGAACGCUGGCGGCGUGCCUAAUACAUGCAAGUCGAGCGAACGGACGAGAAGCUUGCUUCUCUGAUGUUAGCGGCGGACGGGUGAGUAACACGUGGAUAACCUACCUAUAAGACUGGGAUAACUUCGGGAAACCGGAGCUAAUACCGGAUAAUAUUUUGAACCGCAUGGUUCAAUAGUGAAAGACGGUCUUGCUGUCACUUAUAGAUGGAUCCGCGCUGCAUUAGCUAGUUGGUAAGGUAACGGCUUAUCAAGGCAACGAUGCGUAGCCGACCUGAGAGGGUGAUCGGCCACACUGGAACUGAGACACGGUCCAGACUCCUACGGGAGGCAGCAGUAGGGAAUCUUCCGCAAAAGGCGAGAGCCUGACGGAGCAACGCCGCGUGAGUGAUAAAGGUCUUCGGAUCGUAAAACUCUGUUAUUAGGGAAGAACAGAUGUGUAAGUAACUGUGCACAUCUUGACGGUACCUAAUCAGAAAGCCACGGCUAACUACGUG